CACUAGCACCUAAAAGCUUUUAAGAGUACUUUGGUGUUUUAACUCUACAUUUUGCUUACUGAUUCGGAUCAAACUGAUCUAUUUAGCAGCACCUAAAGAUGAUAAAUCUAUAUGGAUUAGUUUGAUCUAGAUCAAAAGGAAAUUAUGUAGGGUUUUUUAUUCUUCGUGGACUCAAAUGCAAUAGUGCUAAUGUGCAAUGACUUGGUUGCUCUUAAUGAAACUUGACUUUAAGAUUAGGGUUUUGUUGUAGAAUUUAAAAUUUGAAAUUAAGGAAUAGUUUCUCUUUCUUAGUUAAUGCUAUUAUUGGGAGACCUUGAAUCACUCAACCUUUCUUAUUCACUCAACAUCUUGAUUCUCUCUUUUACUUAUCUUCUCUCUCUUUUCUUUCUAUCUUUCUCUCUAUCUCUCUUUGAGUUUUCUCUCUUCUGUAAUUUAUAUGAAUUUUU
rnacentral:lncRNA from 1 species